AGUUAAAUAGUUUAAAUAAAACAUUAAUUUUGUAAAUUAAAAAUAUUUUUAUAAAAUUUUAACUU
rnacentral:tRNA from 1 species